AGACCGCAACUUUUUUUCAUUUAUAUUUUACAGCAUUGAAUCUGCAACUCUCCCGCACUCAUGAUGAACCCUCAUUCUUUAAUAUUUGUCAUUGCUAAUUUACUCCUCUUUUCUCAAUUCUCAGAUGCAACCGAUACACUUACUUCAUCCCAAUCUAUUGCCGAUAGCACUGGCGGUACCUUGGUUUCACAAGAUGGAAGUUUUGAGCUUGGUUUCUUCUCACCUGGUAGUUCCAGGAACCGUUAUUUGGGAAUUUGGUAUAAAAAUAUCUCUGUUAGAACUGUUGUUUGGGUUGCAAACCGUAGCAGUCCAAUCAACGAUACCUCUGGUUUAUUGAUGAUAAACAACAUGGGCAAUCUCAUCAUAGUUAGUAGCAAGAACAUGGGUAGUGUUGUUUGGUCGUCAAACUCAUCGAAAGCUGCAGCCCUGCAAAGCCCAGUAGUACAGCUACAGGAUUCGGGAAAUCUGGUCUUAAGAGAAGAAAAAGAUGAUGAAAACUCUGGAAUCUACUUAUGGCAGAGUUUUGAUCAUCCAACUGAUACAUUGCUACCAGGGAUGAAGAUCGGAGUGAACUUGAAGACAAGAUUUGAAUGGCAAAUCACAUCUUGGAAAAACAGGGAUGAUCCUUCACCUGGGGACUUAGUUUGGAAGAUCAUACCACAUAAUUACCCUGAAUCAACCAUAUGGAAUGGCUCCAACAUUUUCUCUCGAACAGGCCCAUGGAAUGGCAUCUCCUUCAGUGGUAGUCUUAUGUUAAGGCUUAACAAAAUCUUUGAUUUCUACUUUGUGAACACGGAGGAGGAGGUUUACUACAUAUACUACCUUAAAAAGAAAUCAGUAAUUUCAAGGGUUGUAAUGAACCCAAGCAGCAAUAGAAGGGAGCGCCAGAUAUGGGAUGAAUCAUCUAUGAAAUGGAUUCUGUAUUCAUAUAUACCAACGGAUUACUGCGACCAAUAUGACAAUUGUGGUCCCUAUGGAAUUUGCGUCGUUGAUGGCGUCGUUGAUGCAUCGCCCAUUUGUCAAUGUUUGAAAGGUUUCGACCCUAAAUCACCAGAGCAGUGGAAUUCAGGGGUUACGUCUCAUGGCUGUAAGCGUAACAAAUCAUUGGACUGCAGCCAGGGUACUGGAGAUGGAUUUCUCAAAUUUACAGGAUUAAAAUUGCCAGAUACUACGCAUUCUUGG
rnacentral:misc_RNA from 1 species